UACGGAGGAUGCAAGCGUUAUCCGGAUUUAUUGGGUUUAAAGGGUGCGCAGGUUGUUUGAUAAGUCAGUGGUGAAAGUCUGUCGCUUAACGGUAGGAUUGCCAUUGAUACUGUUGGACUUGAAUAUGGAUGAGGUAGGCGGAAUGUGUAGUGUAGCGGUGAAAUGCAUAGAUAUUACACAGAACACCGAUUGCGAAGGCAGCUUGCUAAUCCAUCAUUGACGCUGAGGCACGAAAGCGUGGGGAUCAAA
rnacentral:rRNA from 1 species